UCUCCCCACCCUCUCUUCUCCACCAGCCAACGUCCGGGAAAAACGAGUAAGUCCAGGUUCGUUCUGCCAAUCCCCGCCGGCCACAGCUAACUUUCCCGCCCGGCCCCUUUCUGUCAUAAUUGAGGUGUCCACAACCAGCCAAUCAGGAACGCGAGAGUAUCCCGCGUUUGCUUUCGCUCGCCGAGGCGCGUAUCAGUCGGAAUUUUGGGGAGCCAACCGCGCCGUCUGUCCCUGGCAAGCCAGCUGCGGUUUCAAGGAGGUGGCGGGAAGCCUGUGUGUGCUCGAAUUCGUCACCCUCAUGGUCGCUCCGAUGGCUUGGCUGGAGGACAAGCAAAUUGAGGACAUUGGCAACGGAGUGAUCAAAAUGAUAGAUCAUGAGGCCUAAAAUGAAUAAGGAAAGAAGAGAAGUGGCAGAGGCUGAGAACAGAAAGAGAGGGUGGAGGGGCUGUAAAUCUUGAAGAUUAGGGUAUAAUAUGAGUAUAUGAGUAAGAUUUGGAAGAAUUGUAUAGGAGGCAGUAGUCAAAAAGUAGAAGCAGUUUGGAAGAGUAGUUACAAAUAUCAAGAGCCAGGUGGCUAAAAGGUGGAGCUAUAGGUCAUUGAAGCUCAAGAAACUGAGUCUCUAGGGCAUUGGUUAAGUCAUCUGUCUAGACUUCAAAGUUGUCUAGGAUGAUAAUUCAGAAGACUGAUCUGUGCCAAAGUCACAGGUAAGGGAAGU
rnacentral:lncRNA from 1 species